ACCAUUUGUUGUAUCCAUACCAUCUUUCGUAGACAAUAGGACUAGGUUAUCCACAAGAUAUAAAACUAAAAUGAGUAGGCUAUCCACAAGAUAUAAAACUAAAAUAAGUUUUAGCCCAACUAUGAAGAAAUUUUCAUUCAAAGUGUCCAUUUUGUGCUUCUCAUGCAUUCUUCCAACAUAAUUCUUUAUCAACCAUUCCUUCUCUUCCUUCACCAAAAACUCCAUUUUUUCUCUCCUACCUGCCUACCUUAAGAUCAAGCUUACUCCUAGGCUAGAAUUCUUUUAGUGCUUUGGACGAUAACAUGUAGUUUCUGAUUACCAAUCCAUAUUUAAUCGAGUUGUUUCUCCUAAGACCACUUUGUUCCCCACUUCUAAGAAUCUAAGAAAACUAAAUUUAUGUCUAACUUGGUCUUUUUGAUAUAAACACUUCUUACACCUUUCCCCAUAUCCAAAAAACUCUUCACGUAUCAUACCCUCAACGUCUCACCAAAAAAUGAGAAAAGAAAACCAAGGUUCUCUUUUUAUUUCCAUUUUUAGUGGUUGUGCUAUGCAUAUUUUCCAAUCACUAUAUUUAGUAAGCAACUUUCCACUGUCAGUGAUCACUUACAUCACACCCUUAUCACAUCAUGUUAAGUAAUAAUUAUUAUGAAUAUAAGCAUCUUUUGUAUUUAAUUGCAUGUAUUUAAAGUUAAACCUCUCCUUUUGUUUAGUUUUUUUAGUCCAUAUGACAUUUUUGAAAACUUUAAUAUGUAUAUAGUAAUGGUUUUUGCCCAAACAAUUGUAUGUUGAAUAUAUAUGUUUAUUGAAGAUGUUAUUUUUCUAUUGCAUGAUUCCUAACACAAAGUCAAUCAAGGAAGGAUGAGGAGUACAUGUUGCAUCUUGAGUAUUUAAAGAGAGGUUAGUCAUUAUGAGUUUUUUUUUUCUUGCAAUAACAUCGUUGAUGCAUGUAUGGAUGGGUCUAGCUUGACAGAAGUGGUGUUGGUAAUGGAUUUUACAUUGAGUGUUAGUGACUUACCAACAAUAAUGAUGGAUGUAAAAGUUCUUGACAACAAGUAAAAUAUGAAAGACGGUAAAGACAAAUGGUAUAGAAGAUUGUCACCAUUAAUAAAUAAUGCAUAUCACUAAUAACAAAAUAAAUUUAAACAAAUAUAUGAACAAUAUGUCAAAUAUUUAUCAAUAUACAAAGAAGACUACAUGUUAAAUAAUAUAUUGUUUACAAUGUCUUUAUAAAAUAUUCUAAUAUAUAUUCAUUUUUAUAUUUUAAAAUAUAUUAAAAAACUUUUUAAUAUAUCAAAAUUAAUAAAUUUUAAAAACAAAUUAUAUAAAUAAUAAUAAAAAAUCAGAAUAAUAUGAACUCAAAACUAUUUUUCCUUGAGUUAAGUUGAGAAUUAUUGUGUGGUAUUGAUAAAGGUUCAAAUUUGGGGUUGUUGGGAAAGUUGAAAAAGAAAAAGAUAAACAUUGAGCUAAUGUGUUGAGCAAAACAUAAAAAAAUGAAAAAGAAAGAAAAAAGAAAAAAAUGAGAAGAAAAGCUCAAUGCAAAGAAAAGGGAAAGUUGGAAAUGAGUGAGAUUGGUUGUUUAAAGAGAGUUUGUGUUUAAACUAUAAAAACUAUAAAUGUGAAUAACUCUCUUAACUCAAGGAUUUUGUGAUCCAGAAAAACCAAUGUUCUUCUUAGCCCAACCACGUUACAAGCCAUAAAAAGUCCUUGUGAUGAUAACUUGCUUGUGAGUAUGAUUGAUUGUGGUUAAAUGAAAGGCAAAGUUUAUUUGUGUGACAUUGUGAUAGUAGAGAGAAUGAGUCACCUCAAUAUACACUUGUGUGCUUGAGUGAAACACUUUCCUCGGUGAGGAGUAGUUCCAAUUAUACAUGAUUGCAUCUAUGCCUGGUUAAUUGGUCAUUUAUGAUAAUAACAUCUAUUGGAAAGACUGUGAUUAUGUGACCAUCAUAUUGAGUUUAAUGGAAGUAAUGCAUGUAUACAUCUUGACUGAUAUUUUUAUGAUAAGCUGAGAGUGAUUACUUGUCUUGGAUGAAAAACUUUUGGAAAGUAUUAAUCCAUUGUAUUGAUUGUUUGAAAACUGAGUUACAUCUUGUUUUGCUUGAGAACAAGCAAAAUUCUAAGUUUGGGCCUCUGAUAACGGUUGAAAAACAGUUAUUUUCAUACUUGAAAUCAUGCAUUUUUAUUAAGUUAGAGAAUAAGAGAGUCAAAGUUGGUUUUCUUGGUUUUAUGCUUGGUUUCCCUUGAUUUUGUAGGUUUAUUGAAUGAUUUGAAAGAAGGAUUGAAUUAUCAAAGAGUUGCAGAGCAGAAAAGCCAACCAGUCAACCAGAAAGUCAACUAGCCAACCAUAAAGUCAACCAGUCAACCAAAAAGUCAACCAGUUGACCAGAGUGUAGUUGACCAGCGCUGAGCGGUGAAAAUGGGCGUUGAGCGGUCAUUUUUUAGGGCUGAGCGGCAGUUUUGGGUGCUGAGAGAUCCUGCGAUUAUAGGGAAACCGCUGAGCGGUCAAAUUAGGGGCUGAGCGGUUGUUAGUUUUUAUUUUACGGAUUCUGUGAUCUUUCUGUUAUCUUUUUGGCCUAUUGAUAACGGUCUAAAAACUGUUAUUUUCAUGCUUAACUAUGAUAGUAAAACACACCCUUUGUGGCUUAGAAUGAGCUUUAAAUCAAGUAAAACACUUAGUUGAGUCUCUUGAGAGUCAAAAGUUGGUUUUACAGAUAUUAUGCUUGUUUUACAUAGUUUUGCAGGGUUUUUAGAUGAAUUAAAGAUGGAAGUGAAGUAAGGUGGACUUAGACCCAUGAAAGAAGGAGAAAAAUGAUGAAAAGAAGGGUCAAGGAAGCCGUUGAGCGCCAUAAUGGUCCGCUGAGCGCUCAGAGCGAUAGGAGGAAAACCGCUCAGCGGAAAAACUGACUGUUGAGCAGUCAAAGCAGCACAAGGCAAACCGCUGAGCGGUGAAUUUAGGCGCCUGGGCGGUUGUCUGUUUUUUUAGUUAGAUUCUGUAAAUCUUUCUGUAAUCUAUCUGUUAUCUUUUGGGGCUUACAUAUAGCCCCAGUGCGAAUUAGAAAGGGAUUCCUUUGGCAGAGAGAAACGUCCAGAGCUAUUCCACACACCUUGGAGAAGGUUCCUUGGAUGCUUAGGCUCCAUUCAACAAAGUUUAGGGUUAUUUCUUCCAUUCUUUCAUAUUUCAUCUAGUUUCACCAUGAUUAUGGUGAACUAAACCCUUUGUUGUUGGGGAACAAUGUAAUCUUUUGAAACUCUCAUAUAUUCAAAUUCUUAUUUAUUUCAUAUGCUUGUCCUAUACUUGUUUAUCAAUUGUUGGGUUCUCAUCUGUGCUCAAUGCUUUUAUUGUUUAACUCAUUCAGUAAAAGAUGUUUGUCUUUAUCGAUAUGGGGACGUACGGUAAUGUCAUGAACUGGUGGGAAAUUCCUUUAUUAUGCCAAUAUUGCCCAGGGAUAGGGGUAGGACAGUCAAUUGUAGUUGCUUCCGAUCGCAUUGCAUUAUUGGUUACUAGGGGAGNNUAGGGAUAGCAAGCCGGUAAUUAAUAAUAGGCUCUUUUCACCAAGGGAUUGGGUUAAGGGUAAAUAAGAAAGUGUGCAUGUCAAUUAGAUAAAUAAGUGAAGUAAUUUAGAAGAGUAGAUAUAUGAGAGUGGAUAAGAUGAAAUUGUAAACCCCAACAACAUCAUUGUUAGGACUUUGGCAAGUAUACCAAAUCGUCUAAAGUAAUAAACCGGUAAGACCAGAUAUCGUUUCCCAAGAGACUCGUAUAACUAGACAAUCGUAUAAUUUCUAACUAACCUAGACUAAAGAAUGUUUCCAUAAUUUGAGUUUUGGUGAAGUUAAAGUAAUUAUAAAGCAUAAAUGAUAAAAGUGAUCUUAAGCACUCAAACACUUUGAAAUGGAGAGAUUAGAAAUGCAAUGGAAUGAUAUUGUUGGGGGUUUGCUUUCACCGACUUCACUCUUAUGUAAAUAAAAUUACUUCCUCUUCAUUGAAUUGUCAAAGUCAAUCUACUAAAUUACUCAAACCCCAAUCCCUUGGUAGAAAGAGUCUAGACUUCCUUAUUAAGCUCCAAUCCCUUGGAAAACCUAACAAUUAGUUCCGCAUUAAGAAAUGAGAUUUUAAGACAACCAAAGGGCCUAGUUCUAUCCCUAGAUACUAUUUCCUUUAGGUGUUUAACCCAAUUCCGAAUUUACCCAACAUUUCCCAAUAUUAAGCAACCCUAAAAUCAAGUUAUGAGUAGCAAUUUCACAACAAGCAUUAAGAGAAGAAAUCAAACACUAGCAAUCAAUGAAAGAGGCAUAUUUUCAUUCAAAACAAAAUGAUUUACAUAAAAGUUUAGUGGCUACAACAAUCCCCCAACAACAAUGAAACUAGCUCUCCAUGAAUGGACAGCUUGAGCUUACAACAAUGGUGGAAAUGGAAGAAGAAAGGAGACCCAAGGAUGAAGAAGGAGUGUUCCCACAGCUCCCAGCUGCCUCCAAGAGCUCCAAAAUGAGAGAAAACGAGUCUGGGUGCCAAAAGAUGCCAAGCCCCUCGCGUUUUAGGCCUAAAAAGACCUAAUUUUUCCACAUCAGCAUUGUCACCGCUCAACUACACCCCAGUUGCAGGUUUCCAGAGAGCUGGGCGCUCAGCUGCACCUCAGUUGCACCCCAGCUGCAGCUUUCCAGAGAGCAGGGCGCUCAGUUGCACCCCAGCUGCACCUCAGCCAUAGCCUUCCAGGGAGCAGGGCGCUCAGCUGCACCCCAGCUACAGCAUUCCAGAGGAGAAUGGGGCUCAGCUGCACCCCAGCUGCACCCUAGCGGCAACAUCAAUUUUUGCUCAAUAUUUCCUCUUUUACAUUCAUUCUUGCUUCUGUGGUUCUUCCAUUCGUCGGUUUGGCCAACAAGCUUCAUGUAUAUGAUCUAACAACCAAAAAGUGNGGAUUAGUGAAGCAAUUUAAAUGAAUUCAACUAAAGAUGUAGCUACUUAGAAACUUAACAAAUUGAGGCAUAAAGAAGGUAUAAAGCUAAGAAAGAGUUGACAUUUUCUCUCAAUUCACUACUGAAAUCAUAGCAAAAUAUGUCAUUAUCAACUCCCCCAAACUUAAAACCUUGCUUGUCCUCAAGCAAAAGGUAUCUGACUCUCACACAAAAAAAUAUUUUCACAGACACAACAGAAUCCACAACACUUGCUUGACUUGAAACGACUAGAAAUGUGUAACAGAUGAGCCUUCCACAGUGGUGCUCACAAUACAUUCAAUCAGUCAAAUGCCGCAUUUUAAAAGAGAUCAACAAUNAUGGCNNAAUGCUUUACUGAAUGAUGUAGAACCAAUCCUCACCCAAGGUAGUGUUUCACUCUNAUGCACUGGUGUAUGAAGAUGUGUAUCUAUCACUCAACUAUCACAAUNUCACACAAAUCAACUUUGCCAUUCGUUUCAAUCAAAUUAAACACAUUCACAAGCAAGUCAACAUCACAAGGACUUUCAUUGGCUUGUAUUGAGGCUGGGAUAAGAAAGAAACAUGGUUUUUCUAGAUAACAAAGCACCUUGAGCUAAGAGAUUAAACAAUUUCAAUAAUGCACAUAAGUUUCCCUUUUGCUUCACUUAAUUUACAACCACUUUCUGACUUAUAUCCCAACUUUCUUUCAUUCAAUUCUUUUUCUUUAUCUUUUUCUUUCUUCUUUUUCCUCAUUUUUUUUAUUUAUUUAUUUUUCUCAAUUCACCCUUACACAACAAACUCCCCCAAACUUUAAACCAUUCUCCUACAGCAACCAUGAAUUCUCUAUUCAGCUCAAGGUAGGGAAAUCAGGGAAUUUUCAUUAGGUUUGAGGUUCAAAGAGGGCAAACAUCUUUCAUUAAGGUCCAAGAGGUUUGUUUUGACUUAUUUGAGGUAGAGAAAAAACAUGGCCUUGAUCAUGUGUGACAAGCAAGCAAAUUAUUCAAACCAGAGAAACUCAGGCAAAGUCAGUUGUGAUCUAUCAUGAUAGCAUUCACAAGAAAAAUUUAAGGCACAACAUCUCACCAGGUUAACUCAAGGUUCCACAAACAUCNUCAAGCAAAUGCCAUAAGUAUUGAUCGCAGUUAAACAUAAGGCAUUCUCAGAAUUUUCAUGAAGAAAGUAACCACAAUUUGAGCUCAACUGAACAAUCUCAAGCAUAAUUUCACAUUCAAGCAUCAGUAUCAUGCAUCAGCAUAGUCUAUCAAGCCAGAUAACUCAACCAAAACUAAACAGUAAGAAGUUCAUUCAGAUUUAAAAACAAGCAACAAAAUAAAAUAAAGUCAAGGUCCUGUCAUCUCUCAAGAAAUGUUGUCAUCACUCUCUUCAGAAUCAUCAUCAUCAUCUUCUUCUUCCUCAUCUUCAUCAGCUGCUGCUUCACCUCCCCC
rnacentral:lncRNA from 1 species